rnacentral:lncRNA from 1 species
GAAACGAGAGGAUCCCUUGAGCCUGGAAGUUUGAGGCUGCAAUAAGCUAUGAUGGUGUCACUGCACUCCAGCAUGGGUGAUAGGGAAGAGAAAAAGACCUGACUCUGUUUGGAAAAUGCAAACAUGGAAGAACUCAGAAACAAUAGGUUUCUAGACUGGCUGGAAGGUAAGCUCUAACUCUACUGAUUUGCUUGCCUUUGUUUGUUCUGCCUCUGUGGGUAGCUGGGACUAUCCCUAAAUAAAUCUUUGAGGUUUUCCACAAUGCAUUAAGUAACACUCACAAGCUGUGCUCUGAGGAGUU